rnacentral:rRNA from 1 species
GAUGAACGCUAGCGGCAGGCUUAACACAUGCAAGUCGAGGGGCAGCAGGGACUUCGGUUCGCUGGCGACCGGCAAACGGGUGCGGAACACGUACACAAUCUACCUUUAUCUGGGGUAUAGCCCGGGGAAACCCGGAUUAAUACCGCAUAACAAAUUUCUUGGCAUCAAGAGAUUUUAAAAGAUUUAUCGGAUAGAGAUGAGCAUGCGUAAGAUUAGAUAGUUGGCGAGGUAACGGCUCACCAAGUCUACGAUCUUUAGGGGCUCUGAGAGGAGAAUCCCCCACACUGGCACUGAGAUACGGGCCAGACGCCUACGGGAGGCAGCAGUAGGGAAUAUUGGGCAAUGGGCGCAAGCCGGACCCAGCCACGCCGCGUGCAGGAAGAAGGCCCUCUGGGUUGUAAACUGCUUUUGACUGGGAAGAAAAGACUCCUUGCGAGGAGAGUUGACGGUACCAGCAGAAUAAGCCACGGCUAACUACGUGCCAGCAGCCGCCGUAAAAC